GUGGCUGUACCAAUUUACAUCCCUACCACAUAUUCUAAAAUUGUAAUGAUGCAGAGAAGAUUAGCAUUGUCCCUGCACA
ensembl:snRNA U6 U6 spliceosomal RNA